AUACGGAGGGUGCAAGCGUUGUUCGGAAUCAUUGGGCGUAAAGCGGGCGUAGGCGGCUCAGCAAGUCGGGUGUGAAAGCCCAGGGCUCAACCCUGGAACUGCACUCGAAACUGCUGAGCUAGAGUCCCAGAGAGGGUGGCGGAAUUCCCGGUGUAGAGGUGAAAUUCGUAGAUAUCGGGAGGAACACCAGUGGCGAAGGCGGCCCCCUGGCCCAAUACUGACGCUGAGGUACGAAAGCGUGGGUAGCGAACGGGAUUAGAAACCCCGGUAGUCC
rnacentral:rRNA from 1 species